ACACGGCCCCCUUUCCCAGGCACACGCCCUUCUGUGACACAAUACAAAAAAGUUUGGUGAAGAAAAAUUCUAUCACGGAAGAGAUUCUUUUGAGUGACACUAGUUGAUCAAGUUUGAGCCUUGAGAAGAGUGCCUGAGAGACACAGAGAGAGCCUGGACAAGAUCAUUGACAUCGAGCACAUUUGUUUUUUUCUCAUUCACAAUCUAACGCUAUGGAGUCGGCCAUCCAGACAGUGGUAGGAGUGUAUCUGAAGUCUGCCAAAGGGAAGGGCAGUCUCGGAGAUAAGGACUUCCAGGGCCUCGUCAAUAAACAGCUCGGCAACGUCAUGACUGGAACAGAGAGUUCCUCUGCAGUGAAGGAGAUGCGUAAGGGAUUGGACGAGAACAAAGAUGGGAAGGUCAGCUUCCAGGAAUACAUGACUCUGAUUGGCUACGUGGCAAACACCCUCAGCGAGCAGAGGACUGCAGCCAACAACACACCUGCUUCAUAGGAACUACAUAUGGCUUCAUAGACACUCUAUAAGAUGUCUUAUGCAGUCUAUAAGGCAGGGUUCUUCAAUCCUGGUCCUAGUGACCCACAGGGUGUGCAGGCUUUAGUUCCAUUCCAGCACUGACACACCAGAGGAAACUCGGGAAGGCUUUGAUGGGAUUGAUUACAGUGUGUGUGACCACAGGGCCAGAAUUGAAGAACACUGCCAUAAGGCCCCAUGUACCUAUAGAGGCUCAUAGACCUGUCAAUCUCCCAUGGCUGUAUAUCACUACAUAAUCACUACAUAAUCAGACUUAACUUCAUCUCAACAUAUUUUAUAUGCUUACACUACCAAUCUUCAUCUCGGAUAUAACAAUGUUACUGGUUUUAUAAAUAGUUUAUGAAGGCAUUUUUUUUACCUUAAGUUUAACAGUUCACAUGUUUUAGUAUAACUACUCUAAAUCAACACUUCUACAGUAAAUGGUUUGUUAUCAUGUUGAAAUAAAUGCCAUGGCAAUGUUUUAAAGUCAUGUCUUCUUUCACUGCUCUAACAUUGUCCUAGAUGUGUGUGUAUAGGUGGCACUGCUCUAACAUUGUCCUAGGUGUGUGUGUGUAUAGGUGGCACUGCUCUAACAUUGUCCUAGGUGUGUGUGUGUAUAGGUGGCACUGCUCUAACAUUGUCCUAGGUGUGUGUGUAUAGGUGGCACUGCUCUAACAUUGUCCUAGGUGUGUGUGUAUAGGUGGCACUGCUCUAACAUUGUCCU